GCCUGGGUGGUCUAAUCGGUUAAAGCGUCGCCCUCGAUAGGCGGAGGGGGCGGGUUCGAUUUCCGCUCCCGGCC
rfam:Ixodes scapularis strain Wikel colony gcontig_1108379158876, whole genome shotgun sequence.